rnacentral:rRNA from 1 species
GACGAACGCUGGCGGCGUGCUUAACACAUGCAAGUCGAACGGUGAAGCGCCUUCCUUUUUGGUGGGUGUGGAUGAGUGGCGAACGGGUGAGUAACACGUGAGUAACCUGCCCCCUUCUUCUGGAUAACCGCAUGAAAGUGUGGCUAAUACGGGAUAUUCUGGGUCUGUCGCAUGAUGGGUCUGGGAAAGAUAUUGUUUCGGUGGGGGAUGGGCUCGCGGCCUAUCAGCUUGUUGGUGGGGUGAUGGCCUACCAAGGUGGUGACGGGUAGCCGGCCUGAGAGGGUGGACGGUCACACUGGGACUGAGACACGGCCCAGACUCCUACGGGAGGCAGCAGUGGGGAAUAUUGCACAAUGGGCGCAAGCCUGAUGCAGCGACGCCGCGUGAGGGAUGGAGGCCUUCGGGUUGUGAACCUCUUUCGCCAGUGAAGCAGGCCUGCCUCGUUUGUGGGUGGGUUGACGGUAGCUGGAGAAGAAGCGCCGGCUAACUACGUG